GAUGGACGCUGGCGGCGUGCCUAAUACAUGCAAGUCGAGCGAACGGACGAGAAGCUUUCUUCUCUGAUGUUAGCGGCGGACGGGUGAGUAACACGUGGAUAACCUACCUAUAAGACUGGGGUAACUUCGGGAAACCGGAGCUAAUACCGGAUAAUAUUUUGAACCGCAUGGUUCAAAAGUGAAAGACGGUCUUCCUGUCACUUAUAGAUGGAGCCGCGCUGCAUUAGCUAGUUGGUAAGGUAACGGCUUACCAAGGCAACGAUGCAUAGCCGACCUGAGAGGGUGAUCGGCCACACUGGAACUGAGACACGGUCCAGACUCCUACGGGAGGCAGCAGUAGGGAAUCUUCCGCAAUGGGCGAAAGCCUGACGGAGCAACGCCGCGUGAGUGAUGAAGGUCUUCGGAUCGUAAAACUCUGUUAUUAGGGAAGAAAAUAUGUGUAAGUAACUGUGCACAUCUUGACGGUACCUAAUCAGAAAGCCACGGCUAACUACGUG
rnacentral:rRNA from 1 species